GACGAACGCUGGCGGCGUGCUUAACACAUGCAAGUCGAACGAAGAGCGAUGGAAGCUUGCUUCUAUCAAUCUUAGUGGCGAACGGGUGAGUAACGCGUAAUCAACCUGCCCUUCAGAGGGGGACAACAGUUGGAAACGACUGCUAAUACCGCAUACGAUCUGACCUCGGCAUCGAGGAUAGAUGAAAGGUGGCCUCUAUUUAUAAGCUAUCACUGAAGGAGGGGAUUGCGUCUGAUUAGCUAGUUGGAGGGGUAACGGCCCACCAAGGCGAUGAUCAGUAGCCGGUCUGAGAGGAUGAACGGCCACAUUGGGACUGAGACACGGCCCAGACUCCUACGGGAGGCAGCAGUGGGGAAUCUUCCGCAAUGGACGAAAGUCUGACGGAGCAACGCCGCGUGAGUGAUGACGGCCUUCGGGUUGUAAAGCUCUGUUAAUCGGGACGAAAGGCCUUCUUGCGAAUAGUUAGAAGGAUUGACGGUACCGGAAUAGAAAGCCACGGC
rnacentral:rRNA from 1 species